GCUAAAUAAAAGCUGUGGUCAAAAGCAAAACCAGUGUGCUUGAACUGCUGUGAGUAAAGCAAGGAGCUGAAGGUCAUUUGUUAUCUGACCAGAAAGAAAAAACCAGCCGCAACAUAAGAAAACAGAAAGAAACGAGAUGCUACUAUGGUUCCAGACAUGUUUUUUUUAUUCAGUUCAGAGUUACAGGAAUGGACUGCCAUUUUUCUGUCUGGGGAGUUUUGGCCUUCCUGAGUUUGGCUCUGCUUGUUUCAGUGACACUGAAUAUUGUACACUGUAUGAAAAAGAAGCAAGGUAAGUAAUGUCUCUUUGUAAGGAAUCAAAUUUCAGU
rnacentral:lncRNA from 1 species